UACGUAGGGUGCAAGCGUUAAUCGGAAUUACUGGGCGAAAAGCGUGCGCAGGCGGUUUUGUAAGUCUGUCGUGAAAUCCCCGGGCUCAACCUGGGAAUUGCGAUGGAGACUGCAAGGCUAGAAUCUGGCAGAGGGGGGUAGAAUUCCACGUGUAGCAGUGAAAUGCGUAGAGAUGUGGAGGAACACCGAUGGCGAAGGCAGCCCCCUGGGUCAAGAUUGACGCUCAUGCACGAAAGCGUGGGGAGCAAACAGG
rnacentral:rRNA from 1 species